UUUUCUCUAGUAAAAAAAUUAUGUUGGUCUUGUAAAUCAGAGUUGGGGUAGCCCGGGUUUGU
rnacentral:tRNA from 1 species